rnacentral:rRNA from 1 species
GAUGAACGCUGGCGGCGUGCCUAAUACAUGCAAGUCGAGCGAACAGACGAGGAUCUUGCUCCUCUGACGUUAGCGGCGGACGGGUGAGUAACACGUGGAUAACCGACCUAUAAGACUGGGAUCACUUCGGGAAACCGGAUCUAAUACCGGAUAAUAUAUUGAACCGCAUGGUUCAAUAGUGAAAGACGGUUUUGCUGUCACUUGUAGAUGGAUCCGCGCCGCAUUAGCUAGUUGGUAAGGUAACGGCUUACCAAGGCAACGAUGCGUAGCCGACCUGAGAGGGUGAUCGGCCACACUGGAACUGAGACACGGUCCAGACUCCUACGGGAGGCAGCAGUAGGGAAUCUUCCGCAAUGGGCGAAAGCCUGACGGAGCAACGCCGCGUGAGUGAUGAAGGUCUUCGGAUCGUAAAACUCUGUUAUUAGGGAAGAACAAAUGUGUAAGUAACUAUGCACGUCUUGACGGUACCUAAUCAGAAAGCAACGGCUAACUACGUG